AACCGAGGAUGAUGAAGCU
rnacentral:siRNA from 1 species